AGGGCAAUAGUUAACUAUAACAUUUGAUUUGCAUUCAAAAAGUAUUGACUUGUCAAUUUACCUUA
rnacentral:tRNA from 1 species